AUUGAACGCUGGCGGCGUGCUUAACACAUGCAAGUCGAUCGGUAACAGGUGUAGCAAUACAUGCUGACGAGAGGCGGACGGGUGAGGAGCGCUUGGGAAUCUGCCUAUCAGCGGGGGACAACCCGGGGAAACUCGGGCUAAUACCGCAUACGCUCUACGGAGGAAAGCCGGGGACCGCCAGGCCUGGCACUGAUAGAUGAGCCCAAGUCGGAUUAGCUAGUUGGCGGGGUAACGGCCCACCAAGGCGACGAUCCGUAGCUGGUCUGAGAGGACGAUCAGCCACACUGGGACUGAGACACGGCCCAGACUCCUACGGGAGGCAGCAGUGGGGAAUAUUGGACAAUGGGGGAAACCCUGAUCCAGCGACGCCGCGUGGGUGAAGAAGGCCUGCGGGUUGUAAAGCCCUUUCGGUAGGGACGAAAGCUCUCGACCUAACACGUCGGGAGGUUGACUUAACCUACAAAAGAAGCACCGGCUAACUCUGUGCCAGCCGCCGCGGUAAAAC
rnacentral:rRNA from 1 species